rnacentral:rRNA from 1 species
AUCCCCUGACCGCGUAUGAAAGUACGGUUUUACACCCUCGGGUGACAGGGAGACAGGUGGUGCAUGGUUGUCGUCAGCUCGUGUCGUGAGAUGUUGGGUUAAGUCCCGCAACGAGCGCAACCCCUACGUUUAGUUGCUAACGCGUGAAGGCGAGCACUCUAGACGAACUGCCGUUGACAAAACGGAGGAAGGUGGGGAUGACGUCAAAGUCAUCAUGCCCCUUAUGUUCUGGGCUACACACGUGCUACAAUGGCCGGUACAGACGGACGCAAAGCCGCGAGGUGGAGCAAAUCCUAGAAAGCCCGGUCUCAAUUCGGAUUGCAGGCUGCAAUUCGCCUGCAUGAGGUCGGAAUCGCUAGUAAUCGCAGGUCAGCAUACUGCGGUGAAUACGUUCCCGGGCCUU